GACGAACGCUGGCGGCGUGCUUAACACAUGCAAGUCGAACGGAAAGGCCCUGCUUUUGUGGGGUGCUCGAGUGGCGAACGGGUGAGUAACACGUGAGUAACCUGCCCUUGACUUUGGGAUAACUUCAGGAAACUGGGGCUAAUACCGGAUAGGAGCUCCUGCUGCAUGGUGGGGGUUGGAAAGUUUCGGCGGUUGGGGAUGGACUCGCGGCUUAUCAGCUUGUUGGUGGGGUAGCGGCUUACCAAGGCUUUGACGGGUAGCCGGCAUGAGAGGGUGACCGGCCACAUUGGGACUGAGAUACGGCCCAGACUCCUACGGGAGGCAGCAGUGGGGAAUAUUGCACAAUGGGCGGAAGCCUGAUGCAGCAACGCCGCGUGCGGGAUGACGGCCUUCGGGUUGUAAACCGCUUUCGCCUGUGACGAAGCGUGAGUGACGGUAAUGGGUAAAGAAGCACCGGCUAACUACGUG
rnacentral:rRNA from 1 species